GGGGAAUCUAGAACUCUAGCAGUGGGAGGACUUGGGGGGAAUCUAGAACUCUAGCAGUGGGAGGACUUGGGGGUAAUCUAGAAUGGGUGGCUAUUGUCAUUUCUUUCUCACAUACAGAUUUGAUGUUCCAAUCAGAGAGUCAAACACCUUUCUAUCCCUUUUAUAUUUAGCGGUUUGUGUCUCAUUCCAUGUUUUUAAUUUAUUUAUAGGUCAUUCAUUCACUCUAACAACUAGGGUUGCAAAAUUCUGGUUAAUUUCCUGGUUGGAGUUCUGGGAGAACUUGGGAAAGUUAGCAUCAUUCUGAAACCUUAUUAAGUACAGUGUUCUGUCUAUAGAUGAACAGUCAGUGAGGUGUUUCUGACACACAACAAUCACCAUUAUAGCUUGACCAGGGUCUGUGUGCAACACUGCCACUGUAAGUACAAUAACUGUAAGGUGCAGUAUGUACGAGAAUUCAAACAGUCCGAGAUGUUCACUAUAGUUUUGCCUUAGGUCAUGUGAUCAGGGCUUAUAGAACAGAGGUCCACAGCUCAGGUUUUCAUUUGUCCCUGGCACUACAUUGAUUAAGUAAUAUCAUUGAUUGGAUAGUGCACACACACACCUGGUGGCCCAGGUCAAAAUUAGUCUGUGAUUUAAAGUUAGACUCUGUGAAAUGAUGUUGCCAUGAGCAACAACGUAAGAUACUAAGAUGAGCGAGAUGCAACACUUCUCUCUCACACAGUCACACACAGUAUCUGUGCAUGUACACGUGUUCACUACAGAGUGGUAGCCAGGGCACCAAAACAGUAGACAAGUUGAGCUUCGUGCUUCAACGCUCUUAGUUGUGGAAAUUGACCCACUGUGCUGUUUACUGUCUACAUCUACGCCAUAUCGCUGAGGCCACCUUUAAAAGGUUAGUAAGUAAAGCAGCAAACACUGCAGAUUCCCCCAGGACCACAGCUGUGUACCCCUGGUUUAGAGAAAUAUCAUGUGUCCCAAAUCAACCCCGAGCCCCUAUUCCUACAUCCUACCCUUUGGGCACUAUUGCAGAACUGAGAGGAUUGGAUGGGUAUCAGCAAUAUAAUAAUGAAACUCUUAUAGUGCUGUUAUUACAUAAAGAAUCUCAAAGUGCUUUAAAGCAACACACAAAAAGACUAGCGAUUUAGAAAAAUACAUCGUUCAUCAGAUGGAAGUUCAUGAGAGGGUCGGGAAGUUCAUGGCUUGAGUGGUCAUCGGAGGGAGGCUGUCAGAGGGGAAGGAGGAAGAGGUCUAUGUAGGGAAUAGGGUGGCCAGAGGACCAUUUUAUUAUGAUGAUGAUUAUGACUGUACAAGGUUUGCUUUACUGUUUGUGCUCAGUUAUAAUCCUUUUGGUUUAGGUUGUCC
rnacentral:lncRNA from 1 species